rnacentral:rRNA from 1 species
UUUAUGGAGAGUUUGAUCCUGGCUCAGGACGAACGCUGGCGGCGUGCUUAACACAUGCAAGUCGAACGGAAAGGCCCCAGCUUGCUGGGGUACUCGAGUGGCGAACGGGUGAGUAACACGUGGGUGAUCUGCCCUGCACUUCGGGAUAAGCCUGGGAAACUGGGUCUAAUACCGGAUAGGACCAUCGUUUAGUGUCGGUGGUGGAAAGUUUUUCGGUGCAGGAUGAGCCCGCGGCCUAUCAGCUUGUUGGUGGGGUAAUGGCCUACCAAGGCGUCGACGGGUAGCCGGCCUGAGAGGGUGGACGGCCACAUUGGGACUGAGACACGGCCCAGACUC